GGUUAAGUUACUAAGGGCACACGGUGGAUGCCUUGGCGCUAGGAGCCGAAGAAGGACGCAGCGAACUGCGAUAAGCCUCGGGGAGCGGUAAGCACGCUUUGAUCCGGGGAUCUCCGAAUGGGGAAACCCACCAUCCGUAAUGGGAUGGUAUCCGUAUCUGAAUACAUAGGAUACGAGAAGGCAGACCCGGUGAACUGAAACAUCUAAGUAGCCGGAGGAAGAGAAAACAAUAGUGAUUCCGUCAGUAGCGGCGAGCGAACGCGGAAGAGCCUAAACCGUCAGGUUUACCUGGCGGGGUUGUGGGGCGUCUCACAUGGAGUUACAAAAGACGCGCGUAGGUGAACAGUUUGGGAAAGCUGACCAUAGAGCGUGACAGUCGCGUAGCCCAAACGCGCGUCUCUCCGAGACCCACCCCGAGUAGCGCGGGACACGUGAAAUCCCGUGUGAAUCUGGCAGGACCAUCUGCUAAGGCUAAAUACUACCUAGCGACCGAUAGUGAACCAGUACCGUGAGGGAAAGGUGAAAAGCACCCCGGGAGGGGAGUGAAAUAGUACCUGAAACCGUGUGCUUACAAAUAGUCGGAGCCCGAUCUAUGGGUGACGGCGUGCCUUUUGUAGAAUGAACCGGCGAGUUACGGUAGCGUGCAAGGUUAAGUCGAAGAGACGGAGCCGCAGCGAAAGCGAGUCUGAAUAGGGCGCAAGUACGUUGCCGUAGACCCGAAACCGUGUGAUCUAGCCAUGUCCAGGGUGAAGGUAGGGUAACACCUACUGGAGGCCCGAACCCACGCACGUUGAAAAGUGCGGGGAUGAGGUGUGGCUAGCGGUGAAAUUCCAAUCGAACUCGGAGAUAGCUGGUUCUCCCCGAAAUAGCUUUAGGGCUAGCCUCGGAAUUAGAGUCUUGGAGGUAGAGCACUGAUUGGGCUAGGGGCCCUCAUCGGGUUACCGAACUCAGUCAAACUCCGAAUGCCAAUGACUUAUGUCCGGGAGUCAGACGAUGAGUGCUAAGAUCCAUCGUCAAGAGGGAAACAGCCCAGACCAUCAGCUAAGGUCCCCAAGUGUAUGUUAAGUGGGAAACGAUGUGGAGUUGCCCAGACAACCAGGAUGUUGGCUUAGAAGCAGCCACCAUUUAAAGAGUGCGUAAUAGCUCACUGGUCGAGUGACUCUGCGCGGAAAAUGUAACGGGGCUAAACAUACCACCGAAGCUAUGGCAGUCCUUACGGACUGGGUAGGGGAGCGUUCCAAGCAGCAGUGAAGCCGUACCGGAAGGAGCGGUGGAGCGCUUGGAAGUGAGAAUGCCGGUGUAAGUAGCGAAAAGACAAGUGAGAAUCUUGUCCACCGAAAGCCUAAGGUUUCCUGGGGAAGGCUCGUCCUCCCAGGGUUAGUCGGGACCUAAGCUGAGGCCGAAAGGCGUAGGCGAUGGACAACAGGUUGAUAUUCCUGUACCACCUCUGUUCCGCUUGAGCAAUGGCGUGACGCAGGAGGAUAGGGUGAGCGGCCUACUGGAUGGCCGUCCAAGCAGCAAGCCUGGUGUGUAGGCAAAUCCGCACACUAUCAAGGGCAAGCUGUGAUGGCGAGGGAAAUUUAAGUACCGAAGUCCCUGAUUUCACACUGCCAAGAAAAGCGUCUAGCGAGGAACAAGGUGCCCGUACCGCAAACCGACACAGGUAGGCGAGGAGAGAAUCCUAAGGUGCGCGGGAUAACUCUUGCUAAGGAACUCGGCAAAAUGGCCCCGUAACUUCGGGAGAAGGGGCGCCCCGGUAGGGUUUAUAGCCCGAGGGGGCCGCAGUGAAAAGGCCCAAGCGACUGUUUAGCAAAAACACAGGUCUCUGCGAAGCCGCAAGGCGAAGUAUAGGGGCUGACGCCUGCCCGGUGCUGGAAGGUUAAGGGGAUGGGUUAGCGCAAGCGAAGCUUUGAACCGAAGCCCCAGUAAACGGCGGCCGUAACUAUAACGGUCCUAAGGUAGCGAAAUUCCUUGUCGGGUAAGUUCCGACCCGCACGAAAGGCGUAACGACUUGGGCGCUGUCUCGGCAAGAGACCCGGUGAAAUCAUAAUACCUGUGAAGAUGCAGGUUACCCGCGACAAGACGGAAAGACCCCAUGGAGCUUUACUGUAGCCUGGUAUUGGAACUUUGUGCAUCAUGUACAGGAUAGGUGGGAAGCUGAGAAGCAGGGGCGCCAGCCUCUGUGGAGCUGUCGGUGGGAUACCACCCUUGAUGUACGGAGUUUCUAACUCGUCACCCUGAUCGGGUGAGAGGACCAUGCCAGGUGGGCAGUUUGACUGGGGCGGUCGCCUCCUAAAAGGUAACGGAGGCGCCCAAAGGUUCCCUCAGAAUGGUCGGAAAUCAUUCGUAGAGUGUAAAGGCAGAAGGGAGCUUGACUGCGAGACCUACAAGUCGAGCAGGGACGAAAGUCGGGCUUAGUGAUCCGGUGGUUCCGCAUGGAAGGGCCAUCGCUCAACGGAUAAAAGCUACCCUGGGGAUAACAGGCUUAUCUCCCCCAAGAGUCCACAUCGACGGGGAGGUUUGGCACCUCGAUGUCGGCUCAUCGCAUCCUGGGGCUGAAGUAGGUCCCAAGGGUUGGGCUGUUCGCCCAUUAAAGCGGUACGCGAGCUGGGUUCAGAACGUCGUGAGACAGUUCGGUCCCUAUCUGUCGCGGGCGCAGGAAGUUUGAGGAGAGCUGUCCUUAGUACGAGAGGACCGGGAUGGACGCACCGCUGGUGCACCAGUUGUCACGCCAGUGGCACAGCUGGGUAGCUAUGUGCGGAAGGGAUAAGCGCUGAAAGCAUCUAAGCGUGAAGCCCCCUCCAAGAUGAGACUUCCCACAGCGCAAGCUGGUAAGACCCCUCAUAGACGAUGAGGUUGAUAGGUUCGGUGUGGAAGCGCGGCAACGUGUGGAGCUGACGAAUACUAAUCGGUCGAGGACUUAUCCAC
rnacentral:rRNA from 1 species